rnacentral:lncRNA from 1 species
ACAUAUCCUAUUACUCUGUGUUAAUGAAGACUAAAUUAUAUUAAUUUGUGCUGCUUGCAGUUGCUUAAGAAAGAAUUUAUGAAUGUAAAGCAGAAGCCUGUCUCUCUGAGCCUCACAAUGUGUUAGCUUUGCUACCUUCAACAGGAAAAAGACUGUGUGGUGGAUGUGAACUAUUUAUCGAAAUUGGAUAGAAAAGUGGCAGCAGCACUUUCACAAAGGAGAACAGAAUCUACAGGUGG